UAGUAUUAUAAGUGUACUUAGUUUCGACCUAAGUUUAGCUAAAUUUA
rnacentral:tRNA from 1 species